rnacentral:lncRNA from 1 species
GAUAUGAUGUGACACCUCGGAUCAUCCACAUCCUCUGGUCACUCCACCACCUUGCGACACUUCCCCCACUCAUUACAAAGUCCGCGAGGUCUUGGCCGUAGGCGGCCAAGAAGAGGUACGCGCACAAGUAAAUCCUCGGUUCAGAAGCCUGCAAACGUUUACAUAUAUUAGGUGUUAGUAUCUCUAUUGCAAGCAGGUUGUCUCUAGUUUUUAAUUACCACAGAUUUACAAAAUACUACAGAACAGUACUAGUAAUUAUCAUUGUUGGAGCCUCUGCACAACAAGCAAUUCUUUAAACUAAUCUACCUAGCUAUAACUCAAACAAACUUAUAGAAUUAAUGAUUAAUUGCGUAAUGGAGCAUGGAAUUGUUGUGGAUAUUUAUGGGUUAAGAGACUUGUGUGCGAAAGAAACUGUAUAAUUUGUGUAAUAGGAAUAUAUUGAACAGAGCAGAGAGAUGCAUGUAUGCAUAAUAUAAUACCUUUGGAAAGAGGGGUUUCUGGCUGACUAGUGCUAGCUGUGGGAGAAGGGCAUAUGUUAUGAUAGGAACGCACCAAAUACCCCAGAAGGCGUAAUAUCCAUAGCCUAAUCCCAUUGGCAGGGAAGCAUUCCUUGUACCGAACGUGAGGGGACUGUAUCGUGAGAAGGCCACCUCAAAGAGCCCCACAACCCAUCUCUUGCACUGGCUCAGCGAAUCAUGUAGGCUCUUUGGCGCAUCUCCCAAGAACGCAGGCUGUGCUGGGUCGCUAAACACUGACUUCCACCCUUCACAGUGCAGUCGAAAGCCUGUGUAGUAAUCUUCAACGAGCGACCCAUACCUAAAACCGAUCU